rnacentral:rRNA from 1 species
AUUGAACGCUGGCGGCAUGCCUUACACAUGCAAGUCGAACGGUAACGCGGGGCAACCUGGCGACGAGUGGCGAACGGGUGAGUAAUGCAUCGGAACGUGCCUGGUAGUGGGGGAUAACUGCUCGAAAGAGCAGCUAAUACCGCAUACGACCUGAGGGUGAAAGGGGGGGAUCGCAAGACCUCUCGCUAUCAGAGCGGCAGAGGUCGGAUUAGCUAGUUGGUGGGGUAAAGGCCCACCAAGGCAACGAUCCGUAGCUGGUCUGAGAGGACGACCAGACACACUGGGGCUGAGACACGGCCCAGACUCCUACGGGAGGCAGCAGUGGGGAAUUUUGGACAAUGGACGCAAGUCUGAUCCAGCAAUGCCGCGUGCGGGAAGAAGGCCUUCGGGUUGUAAACCGCUUUUGUUAGGGAAGAAAUUCUCCGGGCUAAUACCCAGGGGGGAUGACGGUACCUAAAGAAUAAGCACCGGCUAACUACGUGCCAGCCGCCGCGGUAA